GACGUAGGGGGCCAGCGUUGUUCGGAAUUACUGGGUGUAAAGGGUUCGUAGGCGGUGUGGCAAGUCGGGAGUGAAAUCUCUGGGCUCAACCCAGAGACUGCUUCCGAAACUGCUGUGCUUGAGUGUGAGAGAGGCUCGUGGAAUUGCAGGUGUAGCGGUGAAAUGCGUAGAUAUCUGCAGGAACACCCGUGGCGAAAGCGGCGUGCUGGACCUUUUCUGACGCUGAGGCGCGAAAGCUAGGGGAGCAAACGGG
rnacentral:rRNA from 1 species